rnacentral:misc_RNA from 1 species
GCAAAGAACUUUUCAUUUUGUUCAAGCCAGUUUAUGGUACUCUGGAAAUGAAGUGUGAAGCGCCUUCAUCUAUUUGAUUAAUUAACACCGUCCAUUUCUCUCUAUAAAUCACAGUUUAGCUAAAGUUAUUAUAAUCAAGAAAUCUUUGAAAUUCCAAUUGUUUAUUGGGUACAGACCCACAGAAGACAGUUCCGGUACUUUAUUAAAAAGCUUAAAUUAUGUAAGAGUUUUCUAUCAUUUCUUAAACUCUAAUAGCAAGAUUCACCUAGUGCCAUGUUUUGAAAUUGAAGCAAAUGUGUGAAGGCCUAACACGUUAGAGAUUAAGAGAUUAUUCUUGAUGCCAAUUUCCUGUCUGGUUGUUUUUCAGCCUUAGAAUUUUGGGUUAAUAAACCCUCGGUUAUUUAAAUGAUUUAGAUAAAGGAAUGUGUUUUGUUUGUGUUUCUUUGCCGCUGUUACAGACGACGUUUAGAAGUGCGUUCACGUGUGGAUAUCCUAUCGGACGUUAUCUUAAGCCAGUAAAACAAUGUUCAACUUCUAAGAUUCCAUAAGGGAUAUAGCCAGAGUGGUGUUUUUAUUGUUGCCGACAGUUUUAUUAAAAAUAAAAAGCAGAUAAUGUG